rnacentral:misc_RNA from 1 species
GAUGAAGAACGUAGCGAAAUGCGAUAAGUAAUGUGAAUUGCAGAAUUCAGUGAAUCAUCGAAUCUUUGAACGCACAUUGCGCCCCCUGGUAUUCCGGGGGGCAUGCCUGUCCGAGCGUCAUUACAACCCUCAAGCUCAGCUUGGUGUUGGGCCCCGCCGCCCCGGCGGGCCCUAAAGUCAGUGGCGGUGCCGUCCGGCUCCGAGCGUAGUAAUUCUUCUCGCUCUGGAGGUCCGGUCGUGUGCUCGCCAGCAACCCCCAAUUUUUUUCAGGUUGACCUCGGAUCAGGUAGGGAUACACGCUGAACUUAAGCAUAUCAAUAAGCGGAGGA